CCUUGGGGGACAUUAGAGGUGCAGAAAUCAACCCCAGUCAACCAGUCUCAGGGAUCAGCGCUCUGGGAGACUCAGAAGGAGAAGGAUCGAAGAACAAAAGGAUCAAGUCACCAUGAUCAACAAGAGGUUCCGAAUGUACAAACCUCCUCUGGAAGAGAAAAGUGAAAACAUCAAUGUUGCAGCCCUGGCAGAUUAUCUGUAUUUCAUCUACCUUAGCAAGCCUCUCAUAUGCCAUCGCUGCCUCGCGCUUCUCAGGGAGCUGAAAAUACAAGCUCUGGCCCAGCAGAGGGAGGCUCUGGCAAGAUCUGCUGAGAAGGGGGCAACUGGCAGUGGGGCAUCUGCCUCCCAGAAGAACAAAGGACCAGAAGGCCAGGAAUAGUGAGAAGACAGGAGCUCCCACAUGAGGCCGGGCACUCACAAGCCCCAUGCCUCUUGUCCGGGGCUUCCUCACAGAGGAUUUCCCAAGGCUCAAGCCUGGACAUGGCCCUAAUGUGAUGGAAAACUAAAUAAAUAUAGCUGGUUAAGGUG